UCUAGUAUAAGCAUUAUACCGCGAAACUGCGAAUGGCUCAUUAUAUAAGUUAUCGUUUAUUUGAUAGCACAUCACUACAUGGAUAACUGUGGUAAUUCUAGAGCUAAUACAUGCUAAAAAUCCCGACUUCGGAAGGGAUGUAUUUAUUAGAUUAAAAGCCAACGCCCUUCGGGGCUUCCUGGUGAUUCAUAAUAACUUUUCGAAUCGCAUGGCCUUGCGCCGGCGAUGGUUCAUUCAAAUUUCUUCCCUAUCAACUUUCGAUGCGAAGGUCUUGUCUUCGCAUGGUUGCAACGGGUAACGGAGGGUUAGGGCUCGACCCCGGAGAAGGAGCCUGAGAAACGGCUACUACAUCCAAGGAAGGCAGCAGGCGCGCAAAUUACCCAAUCCCGACACGGGGAGGUAGUGACAAUAAAUACUGAUACAGGGCUCUUUUGGGUCUUGUAAUCGGAAUGAGUACAAUUUAAAUCUCUUAACGAGGAACAAUUGGAGGGCAAGUCUGGUGCCAGCAGCCGCGGUAAUUCCAGCUCCAAUAGCGUAUAUUAAAGUUGUUGUGGUUAAAAAGCUCGUAGUUGAACCUUGGGCCUGGCUGGCCGGUCCCCCUCACCGGGUGCACUGAUCCAGCCGGGCCUUUCCCUCUGUGGAACCCCAUGGCCUUCACUGGCUGUGGUGGGGAAACAGGACUUUUACUUUGAAAAAAUUAGAGUGCUCCAGGCAGGCCUAUGCUCGAAUACAUUAGCAUGGAAUAAUAGAAUAGGACGUGUGGUUCUAUUUUGUUGGUUUCUAGGACCGCCGUAAUGAUUAAUAGGGACAGUCGGGGGCAUCAGUAUUCAAUUGUCAGAGGUGAAAUUCUUGGAUCUAUUGAAGACUAACUACUGCGAAAGCAUUUGCCAAGGAUGUUUUCAUUGAUAAGGAACGAAAGUUAGGGGAUCGAAGACGAUCAGAUACCGUCGUAGUCUUAACUAUAAACUAUGCCGACUAGGGAUCGGACGAUGUUAUUCUUUGACGCGUUCGGCACCUUUCGAGAA
rnacentral:rRNA from 1 species